UAUUGCUGAGAAGCUGAUCAAACUUGGUCAUUUAGAGGAAGUAAAAGUCGUAACAAGGUUUCCGUAGGUGAACCUGCGGAAGGAUCAUUAUCGAAUUUAUAGGUGAGGGUUGUAGCUGGCCUUUCGGGGCACGUGCACGCCCGAGCCCUUAACGUCCCAACACACCUGUGAACCCACCGUAGGCCUUCGGGCUUAUGUAUACCUCCAUAAACUCUGAAUGUGACAUAGAAUGUAAACUACAGUUUCGUCGCCCUAAAACGGCGGCGGAAAUAAUAUACAACUUUCAACAACGGAUCUCUUGGCUCUCGCAUCGAUGAAGAACGCAGCGAAAUGCGAUAAGUAAUGUGAAUUGCAGAUUUUCAGUGAAUCAUCGAAUCUUUGAACGCACCUUGCGCUCCUUGGUAUUCCGAGGAGCAUGCCUGUUUGAGUGUCAUUAAAUCCUCAACCCUCCCUUGCGGGUGUGGCUUGGACUUGGAGCGUGCUGGCGAAGGUCGGCUCCUCUUUAAAUGCAUCAGCGGAAAGCUUUUCUGGCCGUUCGGCGUGAUAACACUGUUGCGCCGUGGAAGCCUCUGUAAAGGCCUCGCUUACAAUCGUCUUCGGACAAACGACAUCUCAGUCAAAUCCACUUUGACCUCAAAUCAGGUAGGACUACCCGCUGAACUUAAGCAUAUCAAUAAGCGGAGGAAAAGAAACUAACAAGGAUUCCCCUAGUAACUGCGAGUGAAGCGGGAAAAGCUCAAAUUUAAAAUCUGGCGGUCGCUUUGGCCGUCCGAGUUGUAAUCUGGAGAAGC
rnacentral:rRNA from 1 species